rnacentral:lncRNA from 1 species
GAAAACUGCACAGUCAUUUCCAAAUGUGGAAUUGGUCUGUACUGAGAGGGAGUCUAUGGAAAACUCCUGGGCUCCACUGUGGAGGGGGAAUGAGGAGGAAGGUGAGUACAGUUGAGAGGGAGAGAAGGAAAAGGACCACUCCACCAAAACGAGACUAUAGCUGCCCCCCACCCCUGACCCUGUUCCUUCAUCUCCCCUGCUCCAUUUUCCUCCCCUCAUCUUUUAGCUCUAAGACCCAAGCUCAAGCUUGUACACACACAUACAUGCUACUUCCCCUCCACAUUCCCAGAGGUAAAUGGCAAGCAGCCCCAGGCAGUAGAAAAAACAGACCAAAAGAGAAAAAUGUCCAAAGCUGCUACUCUCUGGCUGGUCUGCAGGACUCUCGCAGCCAAGCUCAAAGCAGCCUGGUCAAUUAGUGGAAGAAGAGAAUGGGGGGAAACAGCUGGAAAACUCAUGGAAGCUCAAGGACUAAACCAGCUGACCUUUUGAGGCCUGUCCUCACUGCUACUCCCACUGAGCAGCUAGGGCAGGCCUCACAGGGCCACAUGGUUAUCCAGCACACCUGGCACAGGUGCCAGGCCAGGAGGCAGCUCUGGGGCACCACACCUCAGCCUGGGCUUCAGUUGCCUUGCCCCUGCAACGGAUGUGCUGAGUUUUCAGAGUUUGGCAGGCAUCAGAAAUGUUCCAAGGCUGCACUCAAGGUGCAACAGGCACAGUGACCUGAAAGGUGUGUGUGGGCUGCAGAAGCACUCCUUGCCCAGAACUCAUUCACUGGAGCUCCCAUUUUAACUUAACCAAGCCUUGUCGUGAUAGAUCCAGUACAAGCUUUAACUCUCCUUUGGGAAUUUUUCACCAAAACUACAGUAAAAGGAAACUCAUGGCUAUUUUUUUUUAACUACUUCAGGCUUGAAGAAGACAUGAAAUUCUUAUCAAUCAGUGCUGACAGCCAUUUCUACACGUGGAAGGGAAAAUGUAACUCAUUUUAUGAAGUAGUUAAAUGGAGAAUCCAAAAUGUCACUCUAGUCCCUUAGUCUGUAAUAAACCAAAGUUUCUAUUUCUUUUUAAAAUUUUUUGGGGGGCUGGGGAUAUAGCUCAGUUGGUAAAGUUCUUGCCUCGCAUGCAUAAGGCCCUGGGUUCAAUCACCAGCACUACCCAAAAAAUAAAUAAAUAAAUGAUUUUUGUUUGUUCUAAUUAGUAGGUGUCUCUACUUUUUUGUCAUGUCUUACCUAAUUGUUUUCUAAUUCAUUUGUGAAUCACAGUACAUAAUACACAUCUAAAAACUUCUUUCAUGAAACGUACCAAUGUUUCUCAAUCAUUU